CCCCAAAAUGAAUAUUUAAAAAACAAAGAAACAAAAAGCAGGGAAAGGAGGUAAAUUUUGAUAAAAAUGACUCAAAUUUUGGAUCAUAGCAAAUGUCUGAACAUCCCCAAGGGGUUCUUAUUUACCGAGAAAAUAAGAUUUGAAAAUAUGUUAAUAAACUGUUCACAUUCAGACCAUUAGGUGUUUGAAACACUCAUUCUUCUUUGUAAGGUGUUGUUAUAGAUCAAGUUAAAGCAAUAUUUGUCCUAAGUUAUUUAUAUGAAUAUCAUUUGAAGGAUCCCUAGUAGAAAAGUGAUGACAGAGUUGAGUGUCCUUUUGUUAUGAAACAAAGAAGGUAAAACAAAAUAGAGUACUUUGAAGCAUUGAAACUUCAUUUUAAGAAUAUAGUCCUUCUUGCUCUGGUAGUUUUUAAAUCUGAAGUAGCUGUUAAUAAGGUCAUCCUAAACCUGAUACAAACUUUAAUGUUGAAUGUAGCACUUAUAAUUUGCUUGUACUCUUAUUACACAUUAGAAAAACCAAAAGGGUACACUUGUAUAUAUUUUAAACAUCCAGGUUGACUAUCUAGAAUUUUUUAAGUGACUUUUAUUUUGUUUUUAUUCAAAGAGAAUGUAUUCUAUGGUAACUUUUAAACAAAAUCAUGAUGGGUAUUUAUUGAGCCAUUGUAUAAUUUUUAUUCUAUUUUUAAAGCAUUCAUAAUAAUCUAGUCUCCUGUACCUAUUCCCUGUCUCUGAAUUAGGAACAAUAGUGAACCUAUUUUUUUUCCUUCCUCUGUUUUUCUUCUUUUUUUUUUUUUACAUGAAGCUUAAUGAACACCUACUCUGUGCCAUAAAUGUGGUAGAUGUAGGGUCAUUGGAAGUAAAUCAAAUGGAGAUGUUCUUUACCUUGUUAGAAUUUAUAGCAGGUAAGCUACAAAUUAAAAAUUUAUGAUGUGGUACAGAUGUAAUUCUCACUUCAUAUUAUAAUAUAGAGGCAAAUUAAGAUCAUAACUAAUAUAAGUUACAACUGCCAGAGUAAUCCACUAAUACUCUCUAACUUGGAUUCUCCACUAUAUCAUUUAGUUUGCUAUUAUCUGCAACUAAGAAAACAACAACAAGCCAAUUUGCUUUAAAAAAUAAAGGGUAAAAUUACCUGCAUAAUAAAAAGUUCAAAGGAUGGGUGUGGUUCCAUCAAGACUGUUACCUCUGCUUCACCCCUGCUGGCGUCCUUCAUGCUCCUGGCCUCAGAGCUGCACGUCACACACCCAGAGAAGAGAGAAACUGUCUCAGAAACCCUGAUCAGUCUUUAUAAUUCUCAGCAAUCUAAAUUGGAUCAAAUAUGCACCAGUUAUGGUGUCAAUCCCAACAAAAUUCAGGGCACAACAGCAAAGCAGGGAGUUUGACAAGGGUACUCUGUUAACUAGAAGUUAACAAGGGUACUCUGGCAGAAGAAAGAGGUAAUGGAAGGUGGGGGAGAAAAUGAGAUCCGUUCUUUUAGGCAUAUCUUGUGCUACACUGAACGUCAAAUAAUACAGGCUAUACUAUCUCUAAACGUGGAGAAAUAAAGGGCAGUACUUUUAUAAAAGUCUUGGUUUUAUGGUCCUUCUUUUAUAGGGAAAAACAAGUGUUUAUAAAGUGUUCUAUUACCUUCUAUCCAGAAAAUCGUUCACCCUUUUUUCAACUUACUUAUUUUUCCUCCUUACUUCCCAGGUGAGCAUUGCAUGUAGAGAAAUUCUGGCAUGGAACUGUUAAAAUAUUAACCCAAAUUCAAAACCAGCUGAUCCUAGUGCCUUUAAUGAUUGCAUAGGUUGUGAUAUGUGGUUCAACAUGCCACUCCCAUAUCUCUAUGCAGACCCAAAAUGAAGAUACACAGACAGUGCCUCACGUAAGGAAUAACAGAGGCCCAUGUGACCAGAACAGAGUGAAAGAUAGAGAAGAGGUUAUUAAAUAACUGGGAGUAAGAGGGUCGUUUCCAGAUGGAUUUCCUUCUUGCAAGCUAUGCUAUGAGCUCUACUCCUGGAAGGUAAAGGGCUAGGGAUAUUGAUCCAUCACCAAAAGCCUAGGAGGAAAGAAUGGUUUCUACAGGAUUAACCAAGAAAACAUUUGUCUCCUGAGCCUGAAUCCCAUUUGGAAAAUCUUACAAGUCAGAGAUGGCUGAGUUGAUGGCAGGAGAGAGAAUGAAAAGACUUAGGCCCAGGAUAAAUAAUUGCGGAUCUACACAAACCUGGGACCCUUAAAAGACUACAUACAGCCAGUGAAAAGGAAGUCUGAAAAUAAAUCUACUUAUUGCGCUAAGGAGAUAACGAGGAAAUAAGUCUGUGGUGAUCUUCAACAUGGAAUAAACUGCUACUUCCCAUUUUUAUAGAAGCAGAUCCAUUCCAGCUGUGGAUGUGAGCAGAGCUGCCUCCAACUCAUUGAUAGUGGGAAUAUUUCAUACUCAUCAGUGUGACGUGAUUCCAACGACCAAAGCUUGUAAGCAAAUGUCUUUAAAAAAAUUUACAAGCCCAGUAUUUUGGAACUGAAAAAUAACUAAAUUGUAAUAUAUCGUAGGUGUUUAGUAAGCCUGAGGAAAUAGAGUAAUAUUAGAGUAAUAUUCUAUUAUGUAUUAAUUUCAUAUUACAUAUUACAAUGUACACAUUACACAAUAUCAACGUUCAGUCUAUUAAUUUGAGGGUUUGAAUUCUAUGAAUCUUUUUAUGCAUCUCAAACUGACACAUUAAAUUAUUGAUUUAUGACAAAUUCUAAAAAUAUAACAUUGAAAAUAUUUUUAUUCCUUUACUUAAACAACUAAGGUGGUAUAUACCUCAUUGUAAAGAGACAACCAGAGUCUUAUUAAUGAGUUAACAAGUGAACUCAUUUGACAUUCUCAAUAAAUUUCAUUGACCUUAUCACAUUCAAGCAUAUAUCUGUGCAAUGUCUAAGGUAUGGUUUUGGCUCAAUGUUUACUUACCAAUAUCUGGUUUGCUUAAUAAAUCUCCGACAAUUAGUCAUAUUCUUAUUUUUCUACUUCUAUCGACAAUUUUAUUGUUAUUCCCAUUAUUUUGGGAAUAGAG